ACAAUCAAAUAAUAUUGUUUGACACCUUUAUGAAAUUAAUUUCCACGACUUUAUCCAUGUAAAUAUCGCCCUACUUUCUCACUACUUAUAAAAUUAUUAUGGAAAAAUAUUUUGUGAUUACAGUACAGUAUCCAUUUUAAGGACCAGUGGACACUGGUAAUGCUGGUAAUGGUGUUUCUACUGGUUCUUCAUUUGUAAAAUCAACUCAAGGAAAAAAUAUGUGCCAUGACUUAACUGUCUUCUAGUUCUAAUAUUCAUUAUAUUUAAAUCUUUAAGGCCAGCUUCCUUCCAUGCAUAAAUAAAAGAUUUGCUUGGUCAGGAAAAAUAGGGAGAUGAAGCACCAAAGACAUGAGAUUCCACGUGACACACUUGAUGAUUACGUAUUGCGAGAGCCCAGAUAUUAUGUACGAAAUGACCCAAAUCUCCUUCUCUUUCGCACGCAUUUUUUUCAGCCGUUAAAUCACCUUUAUUAUACCUGAAAAUAUAAUCUUUUCUUGGUCUCUCUCACUUCCACUCAUUCUCCGGCCAGAUUACGUGUCAUCGCGACGCCUGAGGCCAAGAGUCUUAUAUUAGUGGUUGAUGUUUGUGAUGCAACGGACCAAAUGAAAUCAACGAAAUCGAAAGUUUAAGAUCCACACAUCUAUCUAAUUGCCUGAAUCUCCCCAUAAAAUGGUGAUUCUCUUACAAAAAUUUCUUGGUUCAGGUAAAAAAUAAUAAGAUAGAUAUAUUUGUGAGGUCUCUCCAGGUAAAAGAGACCAACACAUUUGAAAUUACCCAGAGUAUAACGGCAAAGGUCACAUUGAGUUGAGAUUGUAUGGUAAAGCCCCAGCAUGUUUUUGCUGGCAAAGAAAACCACUUUUAGAAAUCAACAUUAAAAUGCACAAGUAAUAGUGGGGCUCUUUUUUCGGUAAAGGAGGAAGAGACAAGAGAUUUUACCCACGGAAAGUGAAGCAAAUCAACUUGAAGAAUUUUCUUUUUUUUAGUGAUCUUCUUGAGCUCUCUCUCUUUCCAUUUUGAAAUUCCUUCACGUACUUCAACUGUUCACUGUGGUCCAAAUGGAGGAAAAAAACAAAACACCCACAUUACAUUUGAAAAAGAAUUUCUCACAAGAUCAUCAGCACCAACCUGAUGAAUUGUCAUUGAAGAAACAGAUCAGUUUUAGAUGUCAGAGGUCAUAGCAAUUAUUUUUGGUUCACACAACUCUUUUUGUACUGAUUUGACGAUCGUGGAGGAAUGGCAACAUAGAGGAGCACGAUAGAGACGUGAAUCCGCGGCGAGAGAUCGUGUGAGACUAGCCAGAGACACACACAAAAUCCCAUGUGGUUGCGGAGGCCUCCAGACCAGAGAACUACCAGAAAAUGCUGGAAGGGGUUUUUAUUGCUAUUUGGCCUUCGUAUCUCUCAAACAUAUUUUCAAUACCAAAUCCAAAAUAAAAACCCUUUUUAGUGGUUUAUCACAGG